rnacentral:rRNA from 1 species
CCUACGGGGGGCAGCAGUGAGGAAUAUUGGUCAAUGGACGAGAGUCUGAACCAGCCAAGUAGCGUGAAGGAUGACUGCCCUAUGGGUUGUAAACUUCUUUUAUAUGGGAAUAAAAUGUUCCACGUGUGGGAUUUUGUAUGUACCAUAUGAAUAAGGAUCGGCUAACUCCGUGCCAGCAGCCGCGGUAAUACGGAGGAUCCGAGCGUUAUCCGGAUUUAUUGGGUUUAAAGGGAGCGUAGGUGGAUUGUUAAGUCAGUUGUGAAAGUUUGCGGCUCAACCGUAAAAUUGCAGUUGAAACUGGCAGUCUUGAGUACAGUAGAGGUGGGAGGAAUUCGUGGUGUAGCGGUGAAAUGCUUAGAUAUCACGAAGAACUCCGAUUGCGAAGGCAGUUCACUGGACUGCAACUGACACUGAGGCUCGAAAGUGUGGGUAUCAAACAGGAUUAGAUACCCGGGUAGUC